UGGACAGUGACACGUCACUCGGACUUCCGUAAACAGUGACGGAUCGAGAACAGCGACUGCAGCGACCCCUGCUGGACAACACGGACCCGGACAGACCGCAGACCACAUCUGGACCAGGGCGAUGGAAGCCUGUCUCCACCACUUGGAAAAAAAAAGUCACACGCUAUCUCAUAAUUAUGUUAUACAACUUCAUAAUUAUGACUUACUAUCUCAUACUUGUGACUUACUAUCUCAUAAUUAUGAGAUACAAACUUAUAAUUUUGAUUUACUAUCUCAUAAUUAUGACUUUCUAAUUCAUAAUUAUGAGAUACUAAGUCAUAAUUUUGACUUACUAUCCCAUAGUUAUAACUUACUAUCUCAUAAUUAUGACUUCAUAUUUCAUAAUUAUGACUUGCUAUCUCAUAAUUAUGACUUGAUAUCUCAUAAGUAUGAGAUAGCAAACCAUCAUUUUGACCUACUAUCUCAUAAUUAUGACUUUCUGUCUCCUAAUUAUGACUUUUUGUCUCAUAAUUAUGACUUACUCUCUUAUAAUUAUGAGACACAAAGUCAUUAUUACGACUUUGUAUCUCAUCAUUAUGAGAUACAAAGUUUUUGUUUGUUUUUUUUAAGUGGUGGAAAUGGGCUUUCAUACUGAACUGAACUACUGGGAGCAGGCUUGAUUGAAGAGUCUGACUGCAGCAGGAAGGAAGGACCUGCAGUAUCUCUCCUUUAGACAUCGUGGGUGAAGCAGUCUGUCACUGAAGGAGCUGCCCAGUGAUGUUACUGUUUCCUGCAGGGCGUGAGAAAUGUCCCCCAUGACAGACAAAAGCCUCAACAUUAUCCUCAUGUCUCCCACCACCUCCACAGGGUCAAGGGGGCAGCCCAGGACAGAGCUGGCUUUCUUAACCAUUUUGUUUAGUCUCUUCCUGUCUACAGCCAUAACGCUGCUGCUCCAGCAGACCACUCCACACAAGAUGGCUGAUGCCACCACAGAAUAACAAAAGGUCCUCAGAAGUGUUCCCUGCACCCUGAAGAACCUCAAUUUCCUGAACAGGCUGAAGUGGAUGCGAAGAGGUGCACAUCCAGAAUCAAGAUUCGUCUGAUCCUCCGGAGAUCAUUGCUUAUUAGUAGCUUCUUUGCCCUUGUCAGAAGUACUUUUUUGAAACAAAUAAUUGGCAGCACUGGGAAACGCUGACCUUUUAUGAUGAUGUCAGCAGCCAACAGAUUCCUGCUACGUGUUUACCUUUCUACUGAUGUUGCUGUGAAAGUAACCCUGUCUGAAAGGCCAGAAUCUGUGGAUGAGCUCAAAAACCUUCUGAG